rnacentral:rRNA from 1 species
GGGGAACAUGUAUCCAGCCAUGCCCGCGUGUGUGAAGAAGGUCUUCGGAUUGUAAAGCACUUUAAGUGUGGGAGGAAGGGCUUACGGUUAAUACCCGCUAAGUUUUGACGUUACCAACAGAAUAAGCACCGGCUAACUUCGUGCCAGCAGCCGCGGUAAUACGAAGGGUGCAAGCGUUAAUCGGAAUUACUGGGCGUAAAGCCGCGCGUAGGUGGUUUGUUAAGUUGGAAGUGAAAGCCCCGGGCUCAAACCUGGGAAUUGCUUAUCAAAACUAGCAGGCUAGAGUACAGUAGAGGGUAGUGGAAUNGUCCUGUGUAGCGGUGAAAUGCGUAGAUAUAGGAAGGAACAUCAGUGGNCGAAGGCGACUANCUGGACUGAUACUGACACUGAGGUGCGA